rnacentral:tRNA from 1 species
GGAGAGGUGGCCGAGUAUGGUCGAAGGCGCUCGCCUGCUAAGUGAGUAUGCGGCUUAACACCGCAUCGAGGGUUCAAAUCCCUCCCUCUCCGC